GUGUUCGAGUUAAAGACUCUUAGCAAAGUAAUCGCAUUGGAUUUAAUGAAUGUAUGAUGGACAAAUAUUUUCAAAGUAUUUUUCAGAAUGGGAUAU